rnacentral:rRNA from 1 species
CCUACGGGAGGCUGCAGUGAGGAAUAUUGGUCAAUGGACGAGAGCCUGAACCAGCCAAGUAGCGUGAAGGAUGACUGCCCUAUGGGUUGUAAACUUCUUUUAUAUGGGAAUAAAGUGUUCCACGUGUAGGAUUUUGUAUGUACCUUAUGAAUAAGGAUCGGCUAACUCCGUGCCAGCAGCCGCGGUAAUACGGAGGAUCCGAGCGUUUUCCGGAUUUAUUGGGUUUAAAGGGAGCGUAGGCGGGUUGUUAAGUCAGUUGUGAAAGUUUGCGGCUCAACCGUAAAAUUGCAGUUGAUACUGGCAGCCUUGAGUACAGUAGAGGUAGGCGGAAUUCGUGGUGUAGCGGUGAAAUGCUUAGAUAUCACGAAGAACUCCGAUUGCGAAGGCAGCCUGCUGGACUGUAACUGACACUGAGGCUCGAAAGUGUGGGUAUCAAACAGGAUUAGAUACCCGAGUAGUC